rnacentral:rRNA from 1 species
UACGAAGGGGGCUAGCGUUGCUCGGAAUUACUGGGCGCAAAGCGCACGUAGGCGGCUUCUUAAGUCGGUGGUGAAAUCCUGGAGCUCAACUCCAGAACUGCCUUCGAUACUGGGAAGCUCGAGUCCGGGAGAGGUGAGUGGAACUGCGAGUGUAGAGGUGAAAUUCGUAGAUAUUCGCAAGAACACCAGUGGCGAAGGCGGCUCACUGGCCCGAUACUGACGCUGAGGUGCGAAAGCGUGGGGAGCAAACAGG